rnacentral:rRNA from 1 species
CAGCAGCCACGGGAAUACGAAGGGGGCUAGCGUUGUUCGGAAUUACUGGGCGUAAAGCGCACGUAGGCGGAUAUUUAAGUCAGGGGUGGAAUCCCAGAGCUCAACUCCGGAACUGCCUUUGAUACUGGGUAUCUUGAGUAUGGAAGAGGUGAGUGGAAUUCCGAGUGUAGAGGUGAAAUUCGUAGAUAUUCGGAGGAACACCAGUGGCGAAGGCGGCUCACUGGUCCAUUACUGACGCUGAGGUGCGAAAGCGUGGGGAGCAAACAGGAUUAGAUACCCCAGUAGUCCCUGUCUCUUAUAC